rnacentral:rRNA from 1 species
CGGGGGGGGGGGCAAGCGUUGUUCGGAAUUACUGGGCGUAAAGGGGCGCGCAGGCGGCCCGGGCAAGUCCUACGUGAAAUCCCACAGCUCAACUGUGGAACUGCGUGGGAUACUGCCAGGCUUGAGUCCGGGAGAGGAGAGUGGAAUUCCCAGUGUAGCGGUGAAAUGCGUAGAUAUUGGGAGGAACACCGGUGGCGAAGGCGGCUCUCUGGACCGGUACUGACGCUGAGGCGCGAAAGCUAGGGGAGCAAACGGGAUUAGAUACCCCGGUAGUCCUAGCCGUAAACUUUGAGCACUUGGUGUGGCGGGUAUCGACCCCUGCCGUGCCGAAGCUAACGCAUUAAGUGCUCCGCCUGGGGAGUACGGUCGCAAAGGCUG